AUGGAGCCAACGAGUCUACCGAUAAGAUUAUUAGAGAAAAUCACGGAUAAUUUCUCUGAGGAGCGACUACUUGGCCAAGGUGCAUAUGGAAAAGUUUACAGGGGUGUGUACAACAACGGACAAGAGAUUGCUGUGAAGCUGCUCCAUAACAACAUGCAAACAAUUGACGAUGAACAAUUCAUACACGAGUUUGAUAACCUUAUGAUGCUAAACCACCCAAACAUUGUACGGUUAGUUGGUUACUGCUAUGAAACACAACGUCAGCAUAUGGACUUCGAAGGGAGAACUGUUUUUGCUGAGACAACAUAUAAAGCACUUUGCUUUGAGUAUAUGCCCAAGGGAAGCCUUCAAAACCAUCUAUCUGAUGAAUGCAAUGGACUUGAUUGGCAAACACGUUACAAAAUUAUCAAAGGGGCUUGUGAAGGUUUAAAAUACCUUCAUGAAGGAUUCAAAGAACCAUUUUACCAUUUGGACAUAAAACCAGACAACAUGCUUCUAGAUGAAAACAUGACCCUAAAACUUGCAGAUUUUGGUUUGUCCAAGUUCUACGACGGACGACAAACCUGCAGGGUGACACAAAGUCCUAUUGCAGGAACUAUUGGAUACAUGCCACCGGAAUACUUAUUUGGCAACGUGGUCUCGAAGAAGUUCGACAUAUUCAGCUUGGGUGUUGUAAUGACCAAGAUAAUUGUGGGGCCUAAUGGCCACACCAGACAUGCUGAAAUGCACCACCAAGAGUUUCUUGAUCAAGUACAAGGAAAUUGGAGAAAAAGGUUGCAAGCAACAUGGAGUCCUCCCGAACUGGUAGAAGCACAAUGCCAACAAGUGAAGAGAUGCAUUGAGAUUGCCCUGAGCUGCAUGGAGAUGGAUAGACACAAAAGGCCAAGUGUGGUGGAUAUCAUACAUGAACUUAACAAGACUGAAACUUUUAUUGAGAAGAUUACUUAUUAUGAACUAGAUCCUUCACCGCCACUUGGUUCCACUUCAAAUGUUGUUCAACCUGCAACGUCAUCUCCACCAUCUUCCCCAACACUGAGUUUACAAUUGGCUUCAUCACGGGAUGUUGAAGUGGAGGCUGCGAAGCUACUUCAUAAACUUAUUCUGGAGUCAAAGGAUGAGCCCACUAAAAUGGCAAGAAAACUUUAUGUGAUAUGUCAACAUAUGAAGCUAAGUGGAAAAGAGCAGUCUCUGCCCUAUCAGGUUAUAUCUAGGGCCAUGGAGAUUCUUGUAAGUCAACAUGGAAUUGAUAUGGACGCAUUGGGAUCAUCACGAGUUCCGUUUUCUGGCCGUCCACAAGCAGUAGAUUCUAGUGGCGUUAUGUUCAAGGAUAAGGUGAUAAUUGGUGGCGUUAUGUUCAAGGACAAGGUGAUAAUUGGUGGUCAGUCUCCUGUGGUUGGACGCAAUGCAUCCCAGCGCAGCGGUCAAGCUGCAUUAUCGCAGUUUCCAUCUGCCUGUGCCAUUGGAUUUUCAACAUCACCUCAGUGUCCACAUCCAAUGGUUAUUUCUAAGAUGUCACCACCACUCUUCCGAACGGUCGUCCACCGCAAGUCACAUGACGGGCUCCUCAAGAUCACCGAUCGUGUCUAUGUACUCGAUUCAUGCUUCACCACUGACGUCUUCGCGGGUGAUAAGUACCAGCGGCAGCAUUACAUCAAGGACAUCGUCUCACGCCUCAAGAGCAACUUUGCUAACGCGCACUUCCUGGUCUCGAACUUCCGGGAGGGACGGAGAUGGAGCCAGAGCCAGAGCCUGCUGGCCAAAAUCUUGAACAGCUAUGACAUGACUGUGAUGGAGUACCCGAGGCAAUAUGAGGGGUGUCCAAUCCUCACGAUGGAGAUGAUCUACCAUUUCCUCAAGUCAGCAGACAGUUGGCUCUCUGUGGGCCAGGACAAUGUCAUGAUAAUGCAUUGCGAGCGAGGCGGCUGGUCUGUACUUGCGUUCAUGUUAGCAGGACUGUUGCUGUGUCAAAAGAAGUUCACUGAUGAGCAGAAGAUGCUAGAGAUGGUCUACAAGCAAGCACCUCGUGAGCUUAUCCAGUUGCUCUCACCGAUAAAUCCCAUGCCUUCUCAGAUAAGAUACCUGCAAUAUAUAUCUCAUAGCAAUAUCAACUUACGUUCAAGCUGGCUACCAGGCGAUCGACCACUUACCUUAGACAAUGUAUUACUAAUAAGCAUUCCGGACUUCAACGGGGAGUCUGGAUGCAGCCCAAUCUUCCGAAUUUAUGGGCAUGAUCCUCUGUCUGGUACAGAAAACAAUCCCAAGGUGGUUUUUUCUACAGCAAAGAAAUAUGUUAGGCUUUACAAGCAGGGAGAGGAUGACGGGAUCAAGAUUGACGUGCACUGCCAUAUUCAAGGCGAUGUUGUCCUUGAAUGCACCAGCAUGGAUGCUGAGAAAGAACGAGAAGAGAUAAUGUUCCGACUCAUGUUCAAUACAUCAUUUAUCAGAUCUGACAUUCUAGUGCUAGACCGUGAUGAAAUAGAUAUGAUGUGGGAUGCUAAAGAUCGAUUCCCGGAGAAUUUCAAAGUCGAGGUAAUGUUUUCAGAAAUGGCCAUGGAGGUGACCAAGGAGAACCUACCAGUUGAAGCAUUUGAAGAGGUUCAAGAGAUAUUCAGCAAUACGGAAUGGUUAGACUCAAAAGAGAAUGCUGCAUUGGAGUCCAGAUCAAAAAAGGCGAGACUAGACACGCACAUCUAA
rnacentral:rRNA from 1 species